rnacentral:rRNA from 1 species
CGUUCUAUGUUGCCAGCACGUAAUGGUGGGAACUCAUGGGAUACUGCCGGGGUCAACUCGGAGGAAGGUGGGGAGUGACGUCAAAUCAUCAUGCCCCUUAUGUCUUGGGCUUCACGCAUGCUACAAUGGCCGGUACAAAGGGCUGCAAUACCGUAAGGUGGAGCGAAUCCCAAAAAGCCGGUCCCAGUUCGGAUUGAGGUCUGCAACUCGACCUCAUGAAGUCGGAGUCGCUAGUAAUCGCAGAUCAGCAACGCUGCGGUGAAUACGUUCCCGGGUCUU